rnacentral:lncRNA from 13 species
AUGAAGGGGUCAGGCCUGACUAACAAAGAGGACAGGUGGAUGGAUCAAGAGGACCAAGAUGAUCAACAUGGACAUUCCACGGUGGAGACUGGCCCAAAUCAGCUCUCCAUAAUAAUUCAGCAGGGAGAUAGAAUGCUCUGUGUGCCAGAGAUGGUACCAUUCAGCUUGUCUGGGGAUGACAAAGAAGGACUUCAACAAAACCAAAAUAGAAAAUGAUUGGAAGGGGCCUCUUUGCUGUUAGAUUAGAGAUGUAUAAAUAAAUUACUGUUGUGCCAUGUAACUACUUUAAAAUGUGGAACUGUUGCACUAAAAAUGCAAACAUUGAUUUGGCAUUCCAUUUAAGAUUGUAAACAUUGUACAAGUGUAUGUAAACAUGGUCUAACUUCAUAUAGAACAAAUUGCACUUAAAAUGAACAUUUCUUUAAAGUUAUUGCAAAUAAAUGCAUAUUUUCACUUUUUUUCUGCGACAGUCACUGAAUUAGUUAUUGAUUUCUUCAUCUUUAAAUGCAAUAUUUGAGAUUUUAUGUAUUUCUAUCAAGUCAAAACUGGAAUUUCUACUCAAAGCAAAGGUUGUAAAAGUAUACUAGACAUUUAUAGAAUAAAUCAUACCUAGUUUGAUGAUUAUGACAUAAUCAGGGAAAACAUAAUAGAUUUAUAUAGCUUUAAAUGGCAUUUUAUAGAUGGUAUGUAUAUAUAUCAAAUCAAAACUAGAAUUUAUACUAAAAAAAGGUUGUAAAAGUAUGCUAGACAUUUAUAGAAUAUAUCAUACAUAGUUUGAUGUUUCUGUGACAAAAAGUGAAUUAGUUAUUGGUUUAUACCGCUUCAAAUGGCAUUUUGUAGAUUUUAUGUAUUUCUUUAAAAUCAAAACAGACAUCUUUCCUCAAAACAAAGUUGUAAAAGUAUGCUAGACAUUUAUAGAAUAAAUCAUACACAGUUUGAUGUUUGUGACAAACAGUGAAUUAGUUAUUGAUUUAUACCGCAUUAAAUGGCAUUUUUAUAGAUUUUAUGUAUUUCUAUCAAGUCAAAACUGGAAUUUCUACUCAAAACAAAGUUUGUAAAUGUAUGCUAGACAUUUAUAGAAUAAAUCAUAUCUAUUUCCAUGAUUCUGUGACAAACAGUGAAUUAGUUAUAGAUUUUUACAUUUAUAAAUGGCUUUUGGCGAAUGUCUGUUGGAUGUCUGUUGAAUGUCCGAAUGUGUGAAUAUAAAACCAACUUUACCUCAGUUGCCAGGUGUGCAUAAUAAUGUGUUGCCAGGACCGUAGGUUAGUAGACCGGUGACGUCGAGCGGGAGUAGACAUGACAAAAAGAGCUUGAAUCCAUCACCUCAAGGGAGUAAAACUGAAUAAAUAGUUGCAUUUAUUUUCUCAUGCACAGAUUUUGACAACAGCAACUAAGUCAACAGCAACUAAACAAACGGGUUUAGUUGCAUUGGGGCAGGUAGCAUUCUCCUGGCUUCCGCCAAACCCAGAUUCCCAAAUGUAAACGCGUUCUCUGAAGUGAAGAAUCACGCUUCGGACUGCCAGAUUGUGAAGCGUGAUUCAUCACUCCAGAGAACGCGUUUCCACUGCUCCAGAGUCCAAUGGCGGGUGAGCUUUACACCACUCCAGGCGACGCUUGGCAUUGCGCACGGAGAUCUUAAGCUUGGCACGGCUGCUCGGCCAUGGAAAACCAUUUCAUGAAGCUCCCUCCAAACAGUUUUUUUGCUGACGUUACUUCCAGAGGCAGUUUGGAACUAGGUAGUGUGUGUUGCAAUCUAAGACAGGUGAUUUUUACGAGCUAUGCGCUUCAGCACUUGGUGGUCCCGUUCUGUGAGUUUGUGUGGCCUACCACUUCGCGGCUGAGCUGGUGUUGCUCCUAGACAUUUCCACUUCACAAUAACAGUACUUACAGUUGACCGAGCAGCUCUAGCAGGGCAGACAUUUGACGAACUGACUUGUUAGAGAGUUUGCAUCCUUUGAUGGUGCCACGUUGAAAGUCACUGAGCUCUUCAGCCAUUCUACUGCCAAUGUUUGUCUAUGGAGAUUGGAUGGCUGUGUGCUAGAUUUUAUACAACUGCCAGCAACGGGUGUGGCUGAAAU